rnacentral:rRNA from 1 species
GACGAACGCUGGCGGCGUGCUUAACACAUGCAGGUCGAACGGAAAGGCCCUGCUUUUGUGGGGUGCUCGAGUGGCGAACGGGUGAGUAACACGUGAGUAACCUGCCCUUGACUUUGGGAUAACUUCAGGAAACUGGGGCUAAUACCGGAUAGGAGCUCCUGCUGCAUGGUGGGGGUUGGAAAGUUUCGGCGGUUGGGGAUGGACUCGCGGCUUAUCAGCUUGUUGGUGGGGUAGUGGCUUACCAAGGCUUUGACGGGUAGCCGGCCUGAGAGGGUGACCGGCCACAUUGGGACUGAGAUACGGCCCAGACUCCUACGGGAGGCAGCAGUGGGGAAUAUUGCACAAUGGGCGGAAGCCUGAUGCAGCAACGCCGCGUGCGGGAUGACGGCCUUCGGGUUGUAAACCGCUUUCGCCUGUGACGAAGCGUGGGUGACGGUAAUGGGUAAAGAAGCACCGGCUAACUACGUG